GCCCCUUUGGCUCAGUGGUAGAGCGUCGCACUCGUAGUUACUUGACUGUCUCUCUAUGCGAAGGUCCACGGUUCAAUCCCGUGAGGGGGCA
rnacentral:tRNA from 1 species